UCUGGCUGUCUAGAUCUCUAGCCAGCCCAAGCAGGCCUCGCUCGCCCAGGGCUCUCCAUUCUUGCAUCGGGUUGCUUUGGGCUGGAGGGGAGCGGCACAUGCUAAUGUGUUAUGCUAAUGACUUCUGUCACUUUUUUUUUUUUUUUAGCAAAAUGAUCCCUGGUAAUGAACAUUACCUGAAGUCCAGGAUGAUAUGAUGAAAGUGCUUGUGGGUGGUGUUUGAUUUGUGAAAGGAUAUUUCACACAUCCUGUUUCAGAUGCAAUCAUCAAGUGAGAAACAACACACAUGAGAAACUUGCCCUGCAUCACAGGCAAGAAUGAUCAAGAAAGAAUGCAAACUGACUUUCAAGACUGAGGGCACAAAUGCAUUUAUCAUCCCUGUUUGCAGGAGAGAUGUUGAAGAGCUUUGAGACUGGCACCAGGUGGUUUAUGUCCUGGUGACUCACAUUCUGUGUGCUGCAAUUGCUCAGAUGAUGUAUUAAAGUUGUAUAAUACUGUUGAAUCAGUACAUACAAAACAUAUAUAUUAACGUCUGCUGGUGUAAUGUCUUGCCAAUGCACUCAUGAAAACCUGAUCUCUGUUGGGGAAUAGCACUGUGAAUUAAAAGCCAAGUGUUAGCCUGAA